AACGCAUGGUCACUCGCACAAACGCUUGACGCAAUCUUUGGUCAAACGUUUGCAACAACAUGCAAGAACAAAUCGGGAAGAAAGUUUACUCGGUCACCAAUCCCAAUGGUGUCGGGUUGUGUACACUUCCUAUAUUUUUU
rnacentral:snoRNA from 1 species